rnacentral:tRNA from 1 species
AGGGGUGUAGCUCAGUGGUAGAGCAUGUGCUUAGCAUGUGUGAGGCUCUGGGUUUCACGCCCAGCACCCCAA